GUGCUCGCUUCAGCAGCACAUAUACUAAAAUUGAAACGAUACAGAGAAGAUUAGCAUGGCCCCUUCCCAAAGGAUGACAUGUAAAUUCGUGAAGCAUUCCAUAUUUUU